CUAAAAGAAAACGGAAGCUGCUAUUUCCAAUUCUCCUCCAUCGUAAAAAAAACCAGCAAAACUUCCCAAUCAAAAAGAAUCUGGAGCUAGGACCUAGGCAUUCUAAGAGAUGGGGAACGAAAAGUAACAAAAAAAAAAGCAAAAAGAGAAUUGAAAAAAAUAGAGAGAACGGCAAAGCCCCAUUCCCAGUCGUUUUCCUCUCAUCUCCUCUUAGCUUCACCGCCAAAAUCCAGCCGCUAAUCACCAUUGAACGCACUCUAAAAAAAUUCUGAAAACCAGUCCAAUCCAGCCCCAAAAUCAACUAAAAACGCUCAAAACAACAACUCAAAAUUGAUACCAUUCGGGUUCGAGUUCUGUCAAGGUCGCCGGCAUAGUUUUGCGAUCGAGUGAAGUGUAGAGCCUCAGUUAACGCCUGCUCAUUUUCACUCAUGGCGUGCUUGUCGUUGUAUAUCGUUCGGAGCUGCCGCAAAAUUUUGCAAGUUAAUAAAAGGUCCAUGUUUAUCUAUUGUUCGAUAUUAUGAUUGAUCUGAUUUUUUUUUCUUUCUCCAGUUAAAUGAUAUGUUUUUAAAUGAAUUUGGUGGUUGUUUGAACAGAUCAAAAUCACUAAAAUAUAAGAAGUUCCAUAUGUAUAUGACAUGUAACACAACUCAAUUCAACAUAUAUCUUCACUUCGACGAUGUACUCCUCUAAUGCAGUUUCUUCUUCCCAAGGUUUCAUAUUCUUAUCCUGGGGAUAUGAGUGGAUAUAUAUAGGGGAAGACUUCAUACUAUAGUUGAAUGUUUAGUUAGUGAAACUUCACUGAAUUUUAAAUUUGAAGCAUCUCUUGAUUAGACACUAGUAGUAUAUUAGUAGGCUUCUUCGUUCUAUAUAUGUUAAGUAGUUUUUUUUUUCUUAUUUUGAUUUGCUUAUUUGAUUCAACGUUUUUGAGGCAUAAGCUGAAUUGAUCACGUGAUUGUUAAGAAAUCUAUUUAGGUUAGUUGAUUAAGCUUAAAAUUAAAUGUUGUGGCCAUGUGAUUGAUUUUUUUUGUGAAAUUGUCUUGGGCCGUGAAGAUUUAGACAAUUAGAUUCGAGGCGUGCCAUAAAGUAAGAUAUAGUUUAUGGCCCUCAAAAGCUUAGUUUAAGUUUUUCCUUUUAAAAAAAGUAGAAUCGAGGUGUGUCAUGCCGAAUAAAAUCUUCAAACGCAAUGGCCCUCGCUUAAUUAUUUCUUUUAAAAUCCUUAGAAAUCGAGGUGUGCUAUUUAGUCGAAUUUCCAUGGCCCUCGCAAAGUUGAAGAUGCGUAGUUGCUUUAGUCGCGUUCUUUUAAUAAUUUACCUUCCUAAACUCGGGUGCGCAUUUAUGUGGCCCAAAUCCAAAUCCCAACAACGUUAAACAAAAUGUGUCGCAGACCGCGGGUGCAUUUAUGUGACGUGGUUCAAGACGUGUUUUAGAUGACGUUUAAUUUUUCCUAAAAAAUAAUUAAUAAAAGCGGUUAUAAAGUUAAAAUUACACCAUAGGUUAAAACAUGUACUAAAAUCAAGUAAUAGGCCAAUAAUAACAGUUGAGCGACCGUGCUAGAACCACGGAACUCGGGAAUGCCUAAUACCUUCUCCCGGGUUAACAAAAUUCCUUACCCGAAUUUCUAUGUUCGCGGACUGUAAUACAGGGUCAAUCUUUUCCUCAAUUCGGGAUUUGAACCGAUGACUUGGGACACCGUAAAAUUAUCCCAAGUGGCAACUCUGAUUUUUAAUAAAAUAAUCCCGUUUCGAUUGUCCUUUAAUUGAAAAAACUCCCUUAUACAUCCCUUCCGGGGGUGUAGGUAAAAAGGAGGUGUGACAAUAAGUACUUCUUUAUCUUUAACCAGAGGUCUCGGUUCAAACUCUGGGUAUAAAAUUAUCUUUGUAAGAGAUCUUUUUAAACCUCAAUGUAAGAUUUUCUUAUGCAAAUCCGAAUUUAGUCGGGCCCCAAUAUUGAUACCUGACGCCUAAUGUGAAACUUAAAAAAAAUGAUUUGGAUCCCUUCCCAAAUAAAACCCUUUAAAGUUUUAUCCCUUAAAGAGUUUAUACAAAUAUGUUUUGGAUUAUUACAUUUCGAAUGCUUGAAUUUAUAAUUUUAAAAAAGAACUAGUACUCUCGUGAUGGAAGAGGAACAAUUUUCUGGAGAUGCGUAGCCUCUUCUCCUCUCAAACAAGCAAUCUUUGUGUAUUGUAUAAAACCAAAAGGAAAGAAAUGAAAACAAAACAUUUUUUUAGGAUCGAUCAUACGCGGUGUACGACGUUGUUGACCAAGACUGGAGGAAACUUGGUUAAAUGAUAAAAUCACAUUUCUCAAUCACCACAUUGAACUUUUCUUAAUCCGCGUUUUCCCAAAGUUGGAAGCACAUCGUUAUUUUCGUAUUAUGUGUCGUGCAAGAUCGAGAUAACUCUUCUUGGCAUGACUUGGAAUAGGAAGGACAACAGUCAACGCGUCCAACUUUCUUGUAAACACAAACUAAUAUUAGAAAAAAAAAAAAUUAGAAGCAGAAAAUAUUGGGCGUUGUGCACCAAUAACCACUUUUUAAUCCCGCUGUUUAAAAUUUAUUCAUAAUUUAUGAUAUAAGUCAAUUAAUCCAAACUUUAGUAUUAAGUAUCCUUAAUUUGGAAUUCAGGAUUUAGUGUCCUUAAUUUUUGAGGUGCUAAUUUGAAAUUCAGGACGAAGGCUUUAUUUGUUUGCAUACUUAAUGAAUGUCUGAAUCUUAAUCAUUCAGAUCUCAGACAUUAAGUGCGUUUUGUUUUUAAAGUCUGAAUCUUAGUUAUUCAGAUCUUAAUCAUUAAGUGUGUUUGUUUUUUUAUUUCACAACCACUUAAUGGGUCUGAAUAGGUCUGCAUGAUUAAGAUCUAUAACAGAGACUUAAUUUCACUAAGAUAUUAUCAUCCAUAUUCAUUAUUAAUUGUCGUCAUCGCCUACCAUUAUCAACUACCACCAUGCCGCCACCACCACCACCAUCAUCCUCAAUCAUAGCCGCCACCAUAAUCGACUACCACCACCUGCCAUCCGCACCACUCACACCACCAUCAUUCUCAACCACAAACAACACUCAUCCGGAUCCACUUCAACUACCACAACUAACCACCCCAUCACCAUCAACAACCAUAACCGGCACUGCCCAUCAUUAUAAACUACCACCACCCACCACCACCAUCCUCAAUCAUAAUUGCCACCACUAGCUACUACCCUGAACCACCACCAUCAACGAAACCUACCACUAACCAUCGUCUCUAGUCAGCAUUCACAAGCACCACUGUUAGCCAUCACCACCAGUAACUACUAUAUCUUUAAAAAAAUUAUAUAUUUUAUUGAUAUAAUAUUAGAUUAAUUAGUAUUUCAUUUGAAUUUUAUGUUUAUUAAUUUUCAAAUAAAGAUAAAUUUUAUACAUUCACAUGUUAAAAAUCAAACAGUCUUAAUAAUUUAGUAUUCAGAUCUUAAUACACAUAUAAUAUUCAAAUGUAUAUUUAGAUUCCAAUGUCUUAAUCUUAAUACACAUUGUAAUAUUUAGAUGUGUAUUCAGAUUCAGACGUCUUAAUCUUAAAAAAAAUUCUUUAAUAGUCCUGAAUUUCUGAACUACUAAUUUACAAUUCAGGACACAAACACAAUUUUCAAACUUUAGGACACGAUGUCCUGAAGUUUGAACUUUGAGGUUAAAACUUCAGGACGUUAUUUCCUAAAAUUUGAAUGAAUUGACUAAUCUUUAAAUACAUUGUAAACUGUGAAUAUAUUUUAAAUAACAUGGUUAAAAGUGGAUACUGGUAUUGUUUAACCAAAAAAUAAAAUUUUAGUCAAAGCUAGAAUUUAGAAGAACACAGGUUACUGAUAAUCAAAAGAAUGUAUAAAAGGAAGUAAUUUAUGUAGCAAGAGAAUAAUCAAGAGAAAAACAAGUAAACCAAAGUUUAUUCCAAUAGUGUUUCGUGUCCUUACAAUUGAUCAGAUAUCUCCCUUUUAUAGAUAUCUUGGAGAUAUACGUUUUGCCCAAAUCAUAAUGAGGUUAUUAUGAGUAAUUAAAGACAUUGAAUGCUACAUUACAUAAUCAUUACAUUCAAUACAAAUUCUCUAACGUAUUCCACAUUUAGUGCCUAUUAAAUGUCGUAUCUGCACUCUUUUCUAUUGUCAUAUUCAUUCCUUUUAAUUCUCGGACAUAAAUGACUUAGAUAGGUACGGGCGCUGAGUUAUUUGAAUAACUGCCCGUGCCUCUUCCUCUGCCAUUUGUUCGUAUCUGUUGCAACUCGUGCCUCUUGGCUAGUUGUAAUUCUUUGAUCAUUUGAUCAGUCUAUGUGUCUUGACACGUCACCUUUAUAUUUAAAUACAAUUUUUCCAAUACAAAUAGUCCCCCCACUUUUCAUUUAUUCAUCAGUUGAAUAUUUGGGAAGUGGAUUUCAUUAAAAGAGAAUUUUUGUCACCAUUAAUGCUAUGACAAAAUUGACGCUUCAAUUGUCGCUUCCAUUUAAUGCUCCGUACACGUGUUAUUUUUCCAUUGGUUAUGCAGUUUUGCAGCCCUUUUCAAGACUUUUUUACGGCUCUAAUAUUCACGAAGUGCUAGUUAUCAUUAUUAUGGUCCUUCCAUUAUUGCACUUUUACCUUUGGCGGUUGCUUAUUAAUAUAAAUAUAACUUCUUUCCUUUUCUUUUACCACAUAAAGCUUAUUGAACACUUAAUUCCUCAAAUCUCAGUUCACUUCUUCCUCACAUUAUUCUUCUUCGCCAUGUCUUCACCAAACCUUAACCCUAGGAGAGUUCCCAUUGUUGAUACCUUCCCCAAUGCCCCCAUUAGGCAUAGAAGGGGAGGUAGGCUUCGUAGCUUAGGGUCUACUCGUGGUGGUGGUUCGUCUAUACCUUCUCCUAGUUCUGGUCCUUCUUCUAGAACCAGAGGUUCCCUCACAAAUCUUCUUCUAGAGCUAAAGAACCAUCUGAACCAUUACGUGAGCCUUUAGUAGAUGAGAUAGUCCCUACAGAACUAUCUUUUUACCAUGAUAGGGAAUUUCUUAAAAACCAGGUUUCCGCUUUAGAUCGUGUUGAUGCUUACCCCACUCAAAUUACAGAAGUUUUGACUCCUGUAGUUCGCAAAGAUUGCCAUUAGAGUAAUGAUUUUCCCAUUAUUAUCCCUAAUCUAAAUCAGAGAAUUACUUCUUACUUGACUGGGUUCUCUUUUGUUUAUGCAUACUCUUUUACUUUAGGGUUCAAACCAGCUAUUGACCCAGUCAUUCUUGAAUUUUGCCGUUUCUUUAAUGUCUGUUUGGGUCAAAUUGGCCCAAUCAUAUGGAGGGUUGUUGCCUGUUUUAGGCAUUUUAACCAAUAUGGCUGACGUUUCCUUUACUUUCCCUCACCUGAUUCAUCUUUACUCCCCUAGGCUUUUCUAUAAUGGCGUUUUUACCCUAGUGGCCAGGAGUAAGAGGGUUUUGGUGAGCCCUAAAGAUGACAAGGACAGUGGCUGG
rnacentral:lncRNA from 1 species